rnacentral:rRNA from 1 species
CAGCCGCGGGAAUACAGAGGGUGCGAGCGUUAAUCGGAUUUACUGGGCGUAAAGCGUGCGUAGGCGGCUUUUUAAGUCGGAUGUGAAAUCCCUGAGCUUAACUUAGGAAUUGCAUUCGAUACUGGGAAGCUAGAGCAUGGGAGAGGAUGGUAGAAUUCCAGGUGUAGCGGUGAAAUGCGUAGAGAUCUGGAGGAAUACCGAUGGCGAAGGCAGCCAUCUGGCCUAAUACUGACGCUGAGGUACGAAAGCAUGGGGAGCAAACAGGAUUAGAUACCCCGGUAGUCCCUGUCUCUUAUACACU